GGAUGUGAAAUCCCCGGGCUCAACCUGGGAACUGCAUUCGAAACUGGCAGGCUAGAGUCUUGUAGAGGGGGGGUAGAAUUCCAGGUGUAGCGGUGAAAUGCGUAGAGAUCUGGAGGAAUACCGGUGGCGAAGGCGGCCCCCUGGACAAAGACUGACGCUCAGGUGCGAAAGCGUGGGGAGCAAACAGGAUUAGAUACCCUGGUAGUCCACGCCGUAAACGAUGUCGAUUUGGAGGUUGUGCCCUUGAGGCGUGGCUUCCGGAGCUAACGCGUUAAAUCGACCGCCUGGGGAGUACGGCCGCAAGGUUAAAACUCAAAUGAAUUGACGGGGGCCCGCACAAGCGGUGGAGCAUGUGGUUUAAUUCGAUGCAACGCGAAGAACCUUACCUGGUCUUGACAUCCACAGAACUUUCCAGAGAUGGAUUGGUGCCUUCGGGAACUGUGAGACAGGUGCUGCAUGGCUGUCGUCAGCUCGUGUUGUGAAAUGUUGGGUUAAGUCCCGCAACGAGCGCAACCCUUAUCCUUUGUUGCCAGCGGUCCGGCCGGGAACUCAAAGGAGACUGCCAGUGAUAAACUGGAGGAAGGUGGGGAUGACGUCAAGUCAUCAUGGCCCUUACGACCAGGGCUACACACGUGCUACAAUGGCAUAUACAAAGAGAAGCGACCUCGCGAGAGCAAGCGGACCUCAUAAAGUAUGUCGUAGUCCGGAUUGGAGUCUGCAACUCGACUCCAUGAAGUCGGAAUCGCUAGUAAUCGUAGAUCAGAAUGCUACGGUGAAUACGUUCCCGGGCCUUGUACACACCGCCCGUCACACCAUGGGAGUGGGUUGCAAAAGAAGUAGGUAGCUUAACCUUCGGGAGGGCGCUACCACUUGAUKG
rnacentral:rRNA from 1 species